rnacentral:rRNA from 1 species
AGAGUUUGAUCAUGGCUCAGGAUGAACGCUAGCGGCAGGCUUAAUACAUGCAAGUCGUGGGGCAGCGCAGUGUAGCAAUACAUGGGCGGCGACCGGCAAACGGGUGCGGAACACGUACGCAACCUUCCUUUAAGUGGUGAAUAGCUUUCGGAAACGAAAAUUAAUACACCGUAACAUGAUGAAGUGGCAUCAUUUUAUCAUUAUAGCUCCGGCGCUUAAAGAUGGGCGUGCGUCUGAUUAGGUAGUUGGCGGGGUAACGGCCCACCAAGCCUGCGAUCAGUAACUGGUGUGAGAGCACGACCAGUCACACGGGCACUGAGACACGGGCCCGACUCCUACGGGAGGCAGCAGUAAGGAAUAUUGGUCAAUGGACGCAAGUCUGAACCAGCCAUGCCGCGUGAAGGAUGAAGGUCCUCUGGAUUGUAAACUUCUUUUAUUUGGGAAGAAACCCACGAUUUCCAUUGUGGUUGACGGUACCAGAUGAAUAAGCACCGGCUAACUCCGUGCCAGCAGCCGCGGUAAUACGGAGGGUGCAAGCGUUAUCCGGAUUCACUGGGUUUAAAGGGUGCGUAGGCGGGCAGGUAAGUCAGUGGUGAAAUCUCCGGGCUUAACCCGGAAACUGCCGUUGAUACUAUCUGUCUUGAAUAUAGUGGAGGUGAGCGGAAUAUGUCAUGUAGCGGUGAAAUGCUUAGAUAUGACAUAGAACACCCAUUGCGAAGGCAGCUCGCUACACUAUUAUUGACGCUGAGGCACGAAAGCGUGGGGAUCAAACAGGAUUAGAUACCCCCGUAGUCC